GAUGAACGCUGGCGGCGUGCCUUAAGCAUGCAAGUCGAACGAUUUCAGUAGCAAUAUUGUUUUAGUGGCAGACGGGUGAGUAAUAUAUAGGAAUCUACCUCUACGUGGGGGAUAGCUCGCCGAAAGGCGGGGUAAUACCGCAUAUGGCCUACGGGUCAAAGUCCUUUACCGGACGCGAAGAGAGGAGCCUGUAUCCUAUCAGCUAGUUGGUGAGGUAAUGGCUCACCAAGGCUACGACGGGUAGGGGGUGUGAGAGCACGACCCCCCACAAGGACACUGAGACACGGGGUCCUACACCUACGGGUGGCAGCAACUGGGAAUCUUGCGCAAUGGACGAAAGUCUGACGCAGCGACGCCGCGUGUGGGAAGAAGGCCUUCGGGUCGUAAACCACUGUGGAAAGGGAAUAAAAAAUAGAAGGUACCUUUCUAGAAAGCACCUGCUAACUAACGUG
rnacentral:rRNA from 1 species